rnacentral:miRNA from 1 species
AGAAUAUUGGUACUGGGCAAAA